rnacentral:rRNA from 1 species
UUUUUAUUAAUUUAAAACUCCCUAUCGACCCCUUUAAUUUUACUGAGAAUUUCUAUAUUAUAUAGAACAUUUUAUGCUAAAACUAGUAACAAGAGAUAAACCUCUCCCAAUGCAAACAUAAGCCAGCAAGAACCCAUCACCGGCAACUAACAGACAAACAAAGUAGCAACAUCACUAGAAAACCCUACUCUAACAACUGUUAACCUAACACCAGAGCAUUUCAAGAAAGAUUAAAAGAAAAAGAAGGAACUCGGCAAACACUAAUCCCGCCUGUUUACCAAAAACAUCGCCUCUUGCCCCUAUAAGAGGUCAAGCCUGCCCAGUGACUUUGUUCAACGGCCGCGGUAUCCUAACCGUGCGAAGGUAGCGUAAUCACUUGUCUUUUAAAUGGAGACUAGUAUGAAAGGCGUCACGAGGAAUAAACUGUCUCCUUUUUCCAAUCAGUGAACCUAAUCUCCCCGUGAAGAAGCGGGAAUUAUCUUAUAAGACGAGAAGACCCUAUGGAGCUUAAAACAUUAUAACAUCUGCCAACCCCCCCC